CAAAAGCCUGAGCAAAAAAGAAUUUGCUCUUUGCCUGACAGUCUUCAGCUGAAACAUCAGUCUCCUCCUACCUUCAAACCCAGACUAGAAUGUGCACCAUCAGCUUAUGUGGUUCUCAGGCCUUCAGACUGCAGAGCAUGGGACUUCUCAGCCUUCAUGAUCCUCUGUGGAAGCUGAGAUCCAGUUGCAGUUCAGUAAACUACCCAAGUUCUCGCAGAUGGUGAGUGAAAAGCAAUCAAGUGCUUUGUGGGAUCAAAGGAAGGAAGAUGCUUUUAUCUAUUAUAGAAUGGUAUCAGAAGUAACGCUGAACAAGAAGAUAGAACAUCCUUGUAUCACUGCAAAACGGUCUUAGAGAAGCUCUUUGACUACAGGACACAGGAUACUGUGAAGAGAGAAGCUUUUAAAGGAAUGAGAUGGGAAGCAAGUGUAUUUCAAAGCAGAAGAGGGUGACAUGAGGAAGAAGCCACCUCUCUUUGAGAGAUGAGGCCACUUGAUUGACACAGCAUAGCGUAGUGGUGAAUAAGAUAGAUUUAUGCAAAUCUCAUCUUUGCGACUUACCAGCUGAAUGGACUAGCGCAGGUUGCUGGACCCUUGAAGCAAGGACUGCUGGAAGAUCAAAUGUGCUUGUGCAUGUGAAAUGCCUCUUUAAAACAAUCAAAUAAAUAUCCUCUAUAACAAAAAGUUUUGUGUGAAAGUUAAUGCAACAUGAAAUCACCCUAAGUCACCUCUUCUUUGCCUCUGGUAACCUGGGUCUUUUCUUUAUAAACAUUAUCCACUUUAAAAUAAUUUUACUCGUUUAAUUUUGACCUUUCUAAUGUCAUUCUAUGCUUGAAGCAUCACUUUUGAAGACACAUCAUAAAGAAUUUCAUUUUAUUCAGUUUUGGGUUUCCUUUAAUGAAUAUGCAUUAGCUUUAUAAGAAGUGUCUCUUUUUGUGGUAAGAAAGGUCAGAUGAGCAAUAAAAAUAAGACAUAAAAUGAUCUAUAACAUCAAUAUACAUUUCAUUAAAAGUCCACCAGUUCCUGGCAUUAAAUAAUACACACUGUGUUAGGUACAGAAGAUCUGGCCUUUCAGUUUCUGAGUUAUGUAUACAUUGUAAGGUUCAGGUGUGAGAAUGUCUUCCUCCGGGCAGCUCCCAGACAACACCUGGCAUUUCCUCUGCUCAGCUACUUUCAAGUGCUAUGUCCUUACGUACAGAGGGGUGGAAGCCUAGUCCAGCUGCAGAGGGGCUAUUCCAAACCUGGAGCCUACCAGACAUUUCCCCUGCCCUCUAGAGCUAUGAAAAUAGCACCAGCACCCUACCCUAAAAGGGUUGACAAGUUAGUCUCCAGGAACGUUCUGCAUACAAGUGAACAUAUUCAGUUAGUCAAAUGCACUGGAAGCUAAUCUUUUGUAUGACUUACAUGUUGUCCAACUUUUUGACAUAUAUGCAAAAUUUCCCAAGAACAGUUAAUAAACACAACACAAGCAUAGUUUCUCACAAAGAGCAGUAACAUUCUUUAGCUAAGAGAUCCUUGCUUUAUUGUGAUAACUGGGUCCAAAAAGGAAAGAUGAUCUGGAAAAUUUGGGGGAGAAGAUUGGGGAAAGCUGCCAAAAAUAUGAAGAUUUAAAAAAAUGUUGAGAAUCAGUAGAGAGAGAAAUAAGUAAUCAGAGCUAAAUAAUCAGAGCCAUGAUCCUUCCAACCGAUGGUGCUUUUAUUUGAAAUAGGUACUGAUAGCAUCAAAGCUAUUUGUUGAAAGUCCACUAUGCCCAGGGUACUGAGUUAGGUGCAAUAUUCUGUAAAAAUCAUGCCCUUCCCCUCAGUGAGCUUGUUGUCAGAAAGAGUGCACAAGAUGCACACAUAGAACUUCAAAUAGAAAUGAUGUUGAUUAGCAACCAGAGGAGGUGACCUUUGAAUUUGAAUAGGAGGUCAGAUUUUUAACUUGUGGAUAGUGAAGGAAAGAACAAUACAGAUAGAAAGAUAUAAAAACAAUAACAACAACGGAAAACACAUUGAUGUAUAAAAGCUUAAACAGGUAAGGAAAACUGCCAAUUUACCUAAAUAGGAUACCUAAUGGAGAUUAACAGAAAAUGGGUUAAAAGGAAGCAGGGACACAUCAGGGUUAAUGUCAGUGUGAUUUUAUUUGGAAGACAGUGAUGAGAUGCUGAAGGUAAGGGAGUAACAUAAUCAGAGCUCUGCACAACAUAAUUUCCCAAGGAUGCAUAAGGUAAAUAAUAUGUACAAGAGACCAACAGAAAUGAAACCAUCAGAGGGUUGUUGGGCCCAGUGAAGGUGGUAAUAAGAAUCUGCAGAGAGUGGGUUGAGGUGUAUCUGUAGGACAGAGGUGGGUAGGAUGGGCAAUAGAAGGCUGAGGAACCAACAAUAACCCUUACGCUUUAGGCCUGGGUAACUGGAAGGGUGGUGGGACCACUAACAGAGACGGGUAACUCAGGUUUAGCAGGAAGAUGAUGGAUUCCAUAUGUUGAAUGUGAUGCUCCAGUAGAAAACCUGGGUGAUGCUGUUGAGAACAGAGUGAGAAGUAUACAGCUGGAGCUCAAUAGAUAGAUCAUGGUUUGGAAGUUACCUAAAUAAUGAAGAUAGAAGAAGAAAUUCAUAGGAAAGGACUAGAUUGUCAGGAAAGACUUGAGGAGAGAGACGAGAGGAUGGGGAAGACAGGCCACUGAUAUGUCAGUUUUCUAGGGCUGCCACAACAAAUUACCACAACCUGGGUGGCUUAAAAUGACAGUAAUUUAUUUUCUCACAGUUCUGGAGGCUAGAUAUCUGAAAUCCAGGGGUCCACAGGGUCAUGCUCCCUCCAAAGAUUCUAGGGAAGAAUCCGUUCUUCUUUAAUCUGUUAAUCCAUCCUUCACUAAUGAUGCUAAAUAAAAUAAACCAGGGACAGAAAGACAAAUACUGUACAACAUCACCUAUCUUAAAAUGUUGAACUCAGAGAGAGUAGAAUGGUGGUUUCCAGGGUUGCGGUCUGGGGGAAUUGCGGAGAUAUUGUCCACAGGAUAUAACUUACAGUUGUAAGAUGAAUGAGUUUGGGGAUCUAAUGUACAGCAUAGUGACUAUGGUUAACAAUACUGUGUUGUUUACUUAAAAUUUGCUAAGGGAGAAGAUCUUAAGUAAGUGUCCUCAAAACACAUACAAACACACACACAUAAUGGUAACUAUAUGUGGUGAUGGAUAUG